rnacentral:lncRNA from 1 species
GAUAGAGAUUCAAAAAAACGCAGGCGGCAAAACAAAAUAGGAACUACAUAAUAGAGGAAAACAAGAAGAAGGACAAGGACCACACAGGACCAAAGAUAAAAAAAUAGAUCUGAAGUUGACAGGACACCUGGUUGUGCAUUGCCUUGAGCAAGACGCGCAUAACCAAUAACAUAUACUGGGUAAAUGAUUAAAAAAAAUCGAAACCCAAAAAAAA